rnacentral:antisense_RNA from 1 species
CGUUAUGACGGGCUGGCUUGGGCCGCCUUCGGGCGGGCCGCUUCUUUGUGGGCGGUUGUGGUAACCCGAGUCAGUCCGUCACCUAU